rnacentral:ncRNA from 1 species
UUAUGGUUUAAAAAAUUUAUUUUGAAUUUAUUUUACAUAUAAAUUUUAGUGUUAUUUAUUGAUUAUUUAAAUAAUAUUUAAUUUUUACGUAGUAAUUAAAUUUAAAAAUUUAAGAAAUUAAGAUUUAGUAAUAUAUAUAUUGUUAAUAACUAAUUUUGUGCCAGCAGUUGCGGUUAAACAAAAAUUAAUUUAAAUUUUUUUAGUAAUUAAUAUUUAAUUAUUUGUUAUAAAUUAAAUUUUAAAUUAUAAAGUGAAAUUUUAAUUUAAUAAAAGUUUAUUUUUUAAUUAUAAUUUAAUAAAUUUUUUUUAAAAACUAGGAUUAGAUACCCUAUUAUUAAAAAUUUAAAUUAAUAAUACUUAAAUAGUAGAUAAUUAUUUAUUGAAACUUAAAUAAUUUGGCGGUAUUUUAGUUUAUUUAGAGGAAUCUGUUUAAUAAUUGAUAUUCCACGAUUAAAUUUACUUAAUUUAAUAUUUUGUAUAUCGUUGUUAAAAAAAUAUUUUUUUAUAAUAUUAAUAUUUAAAAUUUUUAAAUUUAAGUUAAAUCAGAUCAAGAUGCAGAUUAUAAUUAAGUUUUAUAAUGGAUUACAAUAAAAUUAUUUAAUUGGAAAUUAAUUUGAAAUAAUUAAAUGAAAUUGGAUUUAAAUGUAAAUUUAUUUAAAUAAAUAAAUUGAUUAAAUAUUAAAAUAUGUACAUAUUGCCCGUCGCUUUCAUUUAUAAAUUGAAAUAAGUCGUAACAAAGUAGAGGUACUGGAAAGUGUUUCUAGAAAGAU